CUUCGAGAUAAAACCCCUAUCCAUUUGACAUCUAAAUGUCAUAGCGACUUUUGGAAUAGUUUGCUAUGGACAAAGGGGGACAAAGUCAAGGGGUGAGGGGGAAAUAGGGCCCAGUAGAACCUCCAGGACCCUGGACUGACUCCUCACCAGCCCCCCUCCCCCCAAGUCCUCUGAGAAGUUGGGCCAAGCUGGAAGGGAUUGACCGGACUGCAGUCCCUGCCUGCCCUCUCAGGCCUCCAGUGGCAGACACUCUCCCUUUUCCAUCCAAGAAAUCUUCCAGCCUAGGGAUUCUGAACCUGGCAUCUAACCUGCUGGCUCUUGAAGGUCCAGGGGUUGAAUAUGGGAUAGAGAGGAGCUGAAUCCACCCUUCACCCUUAUGACCAAACACUCCAAGCCUCCCCUUUUGGAUGCUGACUCUGCUGAUAUUUGGGGUAGGGGGACAGUGGAAACCAGGCAAAUGACACUUGAAGGAGACUCCAGGACUGGCCUGAGUGUCCCCCUCCCAGAAAAAAAAAAAGGAGACAAAGGACCUUCACAUUUCCAGUCUCUCCACCCACCCAGCCUGUUGUGAAAUGAGAGUUUGAGUCUCUCUCCCAAGAGGAUAUCCACUUUUCUGACAUGACAGCUGUAAACAUGUUGGCCAGUCCUCCCUGGACAAUGGCCUCCUAAGGAAGGGCACCCCAGGAAGGCGGCUGUGCUCCCAGGAGGCCUCUCUGUCCACUUCCCAAGCUCAGUGGGGGGGGGGGGUCCACAAACCUCACUGCCCACCCUCUCUCCACCUGCCUCUCUGACUCUGCGUCCCUGACUGGAUCUCCAUCUCCUCCAACACCCCCUCCUCCACUGGGCCUCCAGAGCCCACCUCUAAUUGUCCAGCAGGGAGUAAUGGGGGAGCGGGGUUGGCUGGGAAGGCAGGGGGAGGGGAGAGCUGCUUAGCGCUGAGGGCCCCCCUCCCCUAGACCUAUCCAAGCUGGGGCUGGGGGACACACCCAGAGCUGAGAUCCCAGACUGGAGAGGGGCGGGGGGAGACCCUAAUGGCUAUUCUCUGCAAACCCCAGCCUUCCUCCGCAAGACAAACGGCCUCGUCUCCAGCCCGUGCCGGCGCGGCUGAUAAA